rnacentral:lncRNA from 1 species
AAUAUCAUCCUGAAGAAACUUGAGAGAAUUCAUGAGAUGGCAAUGAAUUUCUUUUUCUCUCCCUACUUAGCAACGCAGCAAAAAAGCCUCCACGUCUCUCCUGUGGCUUCUGAAGUCAUCCGGGAUAAUCGCCAACCGGCCCUGGCCACGAGUCUCCCUCACGGUGACCACCACUGCCAUCAUACUAGCGAUGGCCGUGUUCAACAUGUUUUUUCUGGAUGAUCCGAAGGACAUUGGCCCUCUGGCUGCCAAUACAUCAAACACAACUUUUUCUACAUCCAGUAAUCAGGCAGUGAUUCUGCGUGCACAAAAUUUGUUUUUCCUCCCGGUAAGUAGUUUCACUUGCUGCUCUGGCUUGCGUUGUUUUCCUGUUCUCCCCCCGUUCUUCCCCUGUGUGGUG